UCGAUCUGAAAAAGUGCCAAAAAAUAGUGUGAGUGAAAGUGAAAUAAUAAUAAUAAUAAUGAAAGUGAGUGAAAGUGAAAUAAUAAUAAUAAUAAUACUAAUAAUAAUAAUAAUGAUAAUAAUAAUGGAUAUAGCGGACAAGUCCCAGCAUUUGUGAUUGCACUUUUGUAGCGGUCUAAGUACCAUUGGCUGGUCAUCAAAUGUAUUAAGAAAAAAAAAAAGACAAAACAAAAUAAAAAAUGUUAUAAUCACCUAGUAGCUUCCAAAUGAAAAUAGAACCUGGAUAUCACUGUGAAUGCUGCCAUACGAGUUUCCAAAGAGGCGCUUCCGCAGGCAGCGAAUACCAGAGCUAAUGCCCCAGACCGAGUGACAUUAUGACAAGCAAUAACAUUAUUCUCCGCCAGCAAGUGUGUCAACAAUGGUUACUGAGCUCAGCGGCGGCGGAGUAGGGAGGUCGCCAUAUUGUAUCCAACAGCUGACGGUUUGCAUUUUGAGGCAUGGCGAAAAACUACUCCGAAACAACUUCUUUCCAAUCAAACUCACGAUCUCAUCUACAGGAGCAGGGCGCAAAUAUUGUUAUCUCUUCGUGACACUGACGUAUGUUAUUCUACUGAGAAAAUGUGGAAUGACAUUCCAAUAUUAGAAAUCGAAGUAUGUGGUACACCAGCCGAUGUUUGGAGGAAUUGUCUUUUUAAUGAACCGAGCCAAUGGAAAAAGUAUGAUUUUACUUGUGGGAGCUAUAUCCAACCCAUUUCGAUCUUGGAGCCGAAUAUUCCUAAACCAUUGAUCACAUCAAACAAGUUACUUUUACCUCUGGAGUUUCAUAAAGUUUUAAAAAAGGUGCAAUGUCGCCGACCUCUUUGUAGCAGCAGAUGCAAUGUAGAGACAACCCAAUUUUCAUCUAUUCAUUCAUUUGAAGCGAUCAACUAAGUGUUUGCUGGGGAAUGUCUUUAAAAUGAUUGAAAUGGGCGAUCAGUAUCAAAUUGCUGGGGUCAUCAGUGCAUUUCAUGACCGAUACGUGGCCUUUUGUUUAGUGAAUGGAAAGUGGUGGUUGUACGACAACCAGCAGCCAAACAUCCAAAUGACAUCAGAUGUAGAAUUCGUUGAACUGGUUGGAUUAGUUUAUAUUUUAAAAAGUACAAUGAGUUGCUAAGCAUGUUAAAAAAAAUAUCACUUACCAAAGUUAUUCUAUCAAAGAUGAAUAUUUAUUUGUUUUCCAAUAAAAAAAUAUAAUGAUUAGAAAAUUUA